rnacentral:rRNA from 1 species
AAGUCGUAACAAGGUUUUCGCAGGGGAUAAAUGAUCCUUCUAUGGGUGCAUUUACCGAAACCUUAGUGAACCAGAAAAAUGGUUGGCCAAACGACAGUAAAGAAAUUGGCCCCUUAGUUAUAACUUUUAUAGAAUUUAACUGAGGCACUGGUCCUUUGUUGGAAGGGCAACACCUUGAGUCUGCAGGGCCAUUCCUAGUAGGAACUACCUGCAGCCUGAUAUCUAAUUUCGUUGUCAGGCUCACAGACUAAAUAACGGUGGGCGCUGGUGACAUUCACAGCGUUUCAGAUAUAGUCGUAUCUUAACUUUAAAACUGUUAAGUACGUACACACCUUUAACCACGCCUCUAAAAAAUUGUUCCGUAGGUGAACCUGCGGAAGGAUCAUUA